rnacentral:rRNA from 1 species
UAGCGGCAGGCUUAACACAUGCAAGUCGAGGGGUAUAUGUCUUCGGAUAUAGAGACCGGCGCACGGGUGCGUAACGCGUAUGCAAUCUACCUUUUACAGAGGGAUAGCCCAGAGAAAUUUGGAUUAAUACCUCAUAGUAUAGUGACUCGGCAUCGAGAUACUAUUAAAGUCACAACGGUAAAAGAUGAGCAUGCGUCCCAUUAGCUAGUUGGUAAGGUAACGGCUUACCAAGGCUACGAUGGGUAGGGGUCCUGAGAGGGAGAUCCCCCACACUGGUACUGAGACACGGACCAGACUCCUACGGGAGGCAGCAGUGAGGAAUAUUGGACAAUGGGCGCAAGCCUGAUCCAGCCAUGCCGCGUGCAGGAUGACGGUCCUAUGGAUUGUAAACUGCUUUUGUACGAGAAGAAACACUCCUACGUGUAGGAGCUUGACGGUAUCGUAAGAAUAAGGAUCGGCUAACUCCGUGCCAGCAGCCGCGGUAAUACGGAGGAUCCAAGCGUUAUCCGGAAUCAUUGGGUUUAAAGGGUCCGUAGGCGGUUUAGUAAGUCAGUGGUGAAAGCCCAUCGCUCAACGGUGGAACGGCCAUUGAUACUGCUAAACUUGAAUUAUUAGGAAGUAACUAGAAUAUGUAGUGUAGCGGUGAAAUGCUUAGAGAUUACAUGGAAUACCAAUUGCGAAGGCAGGUUACUACUAAUGGAUUGACGCUGAUGGACGAAAGCGUGGGUAGCGAACAGGAUUAGAUACCCUGGUAGUCCACGCCGUAAACGAUGGAUACUAGCUGUUGGAAGCAAUUUCAGUGGCUAAGCGAAAGUGAUAAGUAUCCCACCUGGG